CUGAACUUCUGCGUCGGUGUAGGCUACACUAUAGUCUUAAAAUGCACCUAACUUUAAUCAUGCACUGUGAUUUAUUUAAGAGAAAAAACAAUUUGGAUGUGUGGACAGAUGGUAGACAGGGUCCUGUCGGUGAAAAUGAAAGAUUUCUGCCUUUAAAAUUAAUCCAAAAGAAAACUUGGGACUGAUUAUGUGUGCUUAUGGUUGUCAGUAUAAUAUCUGAGAUCUAAAAGCAGGUAAGCCACUGACUAACGCACAUUGUGCCAAUUGCCAGUUCCACUGUGCGUGUGACAGCGGCUAACCUGGUUUUGGGAACACUUCUCAUCUUUGGCUCGUUCAAGACCAGCCACAGCCGGACCAGACAGACACCUAUCUACAGUACAAGCAGUUCUUGACCAUGUCCCGUGCACAUUGCUGGGACAGGGCCUGUUCAACAUGACUGCUCUCCCAGCGGUCUCCAUGUGUACUGUAGGGUACUUCCUCCUAUGUUCACAUACUGUCCCCCUAUUUAGGGCCAGUAGCUUUUAUACAUUGCCUCCUAUGGAGCCCGACCUCUCUAGUGCCACCUUCUGUCAAGACUAUUGGUGAGUGUUUUGUUUCUGUUUCUGUUUCAUUCAUGUGGUUUAGACAUAAUAAUCAUCAUCAUACUGGCUGCUUUCGAAUUUGAGGCCAGGGGCCCUCCGACAAUAGUGAGCAUUACUAUAAAGACACUGAAUUUGGUAUUAGAACUAAAUGGAAAAUAAUAUAGUAAUGUGUCCACCCAUAGUAGAGGCAGUUUUCCAGUUUUAAAAAAAAACUAAAUUGUGAAGCAAAUCUGAGUUCCAAGUAAGACAAAUUUUAACAUUAUGUAUUACACCAUGUUUGUUUGUAACAAAUCCCUCAAGUGAAAAGUAAAGUUUCUACUCCAAUCAA